UAUGAGCAGGAUCUGUAUGGACCCCUGUGGAUGUUCAUAGGUUGAGGGGUGAUCACGCUGACAACAACUACGAGUGUGUUCAGGGACCGGUGCACACUUGGAGCCAGCCAAAGAAAAAAUGCCUCUUCAUAAGGAUAUCCUAAGAGAAGUCUGGACUGAUGACAAGUCUCCAGAAAGGAGAGAUGAAUCCACUCCACAUCAG